CGGUAUGAUCCUUAUGUGUAUGUAAAAUAUCUCAUGUGUAAUUGAAGGGUAUGUGUUGUAUUUUGAAGAGUUGGGACGCUUAAGAAAGUGGACUCAGCUGAUGUGGAAAUGAAUGCGAGGUUUGCAAAGAAUGUUAGUGCUAGAUGAUAUGUGUAUUCACAAGACUUGUAAAUGACUUGAGUUUAAUCUCACUAUAACAUUGUGGCAUCA
rnacentral:lncRNA from 1 species